CGGGGCGUAGCGCAGCUUGGCGUAGCGCACUUGAAUGGGGUUCAAGAGGUCGCUGGUUCGAAUCCAGUCGCCCCGACCA
rnacentral:tRNA from 1 species